GAGCUGUAGAGAUACCUACUGA
rnacentral:siRNA from 1 species